GUUCUCAAAUCGUUGAAAUUUCAAUUUCUUCUCUCUCUCUACGCUAUCAGAUCUCCUCUAAUUCUAGGGUUUUACCGUUACUUGGAUCGCUUUCGCCUUUACUCAGAACAAGUCUUCGCUCUUUUCCUUCUUUUAGAUCCUUGGAUCUUGGAAAUUUUGUUUAUUUCAAUUUAAAUGGAGGCGAUCGAAGAGUUGGGGCAGCUUUCAGAGUCCAUGAGGCAAGCGGCGGCUUUGCUUACCGACGAAGAUGUUGAUGAGAACCCCAGCUCCACUUCUAGACGGAGUUCUACUUUUCUUAAUGUUGUUGCUCUUGGGAAUGUUGGUGCUGGUAAAUCUGCAGUUCUAAACAGCUUAAUUGGACACCCUGUUCUGCCAACUGGUGAAAAUGGUGCUACUCGUGCUCCUAUAAGCAUUGAUUUACAGAAUGAUGGCUCUUUGAGCAGCAAAUCAAUUUUUUUGCAAAUUGACAAUAAAUCCCAGCAAGUUUCUGCAAGUGCAUUACGGCAUUCUUUACAGGAAAGGCUCAGUAAGGGAGCCUCAGGCAUGAGCCGGGAUGAAAUAUAUUUGAGACUACGGACAAGUACAGCACCUCCUCUGAAAUUGAUAGACUUACCUGGCCUAGAUCAACGCAUCAUGGAUGAAUCUGUGGUUAGUGACUAUGCGGAGCACAAUGAUGCCAUCUUGUUAGUUAUCA
rnacentral:misc_RNA from 1 species